UACUCCUACGGGGGGCAGCAGUGGGGGAUAUUGCACAAUGGGGGAAACCCUGAAGCAGCAACGCCGCGUGGAGGAUGAAGGUUUUAGGAUUGUAAACUCCUUUUGUAAGAGAAGAUUAUGACGGUAUCUUACGAAUAAGCACCGGCUAACUCCGUGCCAGCAGCCGCGGUAAUACGGAGGGUGCAAGCGUUACUCGGAAUCACUGGGCGUAAAGAGCGUGUAGGCGGGUGGUCAAGUCAGAUGUGAAAUAUUGUAGCUUAACU
rnacentral:rRNA from 1 species